GGACUAACAGAUUGGUCGCGCCUUUGGUGUGUACUGGUCUAGUUGGUUUCUCCCUUCUGAUGAACCACGAUGUCAUUAAUUUGGUGUCGCGGGGAAUCAGGACUGUUACUUUGAGAAAAUUAGAGUGUUCAAAGCAGGCCUACGCCCGAAUACAUUAGCAUGGCAUAAUAAAAUAGGACG
rnacentral:rRNA from 1 species